CUGUCCUUCUAGCUGAAUUGUAUCAUUCUGGCUCACACAACUUGAGUUGCCUCCAAGCUGGUCUUCCUUCUUAAUACACUCCUGAGGCUGCCACAUCCUCUUCUCCGUAGAACAGCCUGAGGAAGCUUUCGCCAUCAAAACUCAUGACAUGUCUCUGCCCCUGCUUAAACUCCUUUAUUGUUUUCAGAGUGCUGAUAAGAAUCCUAAAUGCCUUGCGGUGGAACAGAGGCCCUGCAUGAUCUGGCUUCUUUCAACCGCUCCAACCCACGCUGCUGUCCUCUCACAGCCCCUCCAGCCUCCUGCAUGUUCCUCAAGCACCACCCCAAGCUGCCUCCCCUGAGGACCUUCGCACCUGCUGAUGUGUCUACCUGAAAGCCUCUUCCUGUGGCUGAAGUCUUCUCAUCUUUGGGGCUGUAGCUCAAAUAUUCCACCUCUAAGCAUCCUUCACCCCAGCUGGGGAGUCACUGAGAAUGUGAGACUCUGAUGAGGAUCCAAAGUGAUGGAAGCAUGAAACACUGGAAGAAGCCUCAUUCUUCUGGCUCCUUGUGCACCACUUCUGCCGUAACUGAUGCCAAUCUAAUUUCAGCCUGGUGGACGUACCCUCUCUACGAAGCCUGCCCUGAUCUGAGACUUAGUCAUGCUUCCUGGUGUAUGACCACAGCAGGGACUGGAAACUCUCGUGGACCUGAGUGUUACUGGAGCUUUUGUGCAUCUGAAGAUAGUCAUCACUGCUGAGCAGACUGCCUGGUAUGUUUGUUGAGUUAAUCUAAAAAGGUAGCUGAACUAGUUCCCAUGUGGCUAGAGUGUUCUUUAAAUCAAAACUGCUAGUCAUAGUAGGUUUCAUUGGCUCCAAGUGAUUAACUAUAUGUUUGAGGCCACAUUUAGCUAAUCAUACACUCCUUCAGAUAGGUAAUGUGAGGAUAUGUGUACGUAAGUGUACCAGAGCCAAAGAUACAUGGGAUGCCUCCAAAAAUUGGUUACGUGAAAUAAAUUCAGCUUUUGAGAGAUGAACA
rnacentral:lncRNA from 1 species